ensembl:lncRNA
UUCAGCCUCACAGUGAAAAUAGACGACCCAUGUGUUUGGUCAUGUGACCGCGAUGCGUGCGCAAAACGACGUGCGUGACGUAGCGUGGAGGCUUCGUAACAGUUUCCUCAACCAAACACUCAACUGAUAUUGUGUGAUAAAAACUGGAAGUCCGCCGGUGAAAGAAGGAGCUGUUUGUUGAGAAAUACACUCACCAACCCGGCGACCCUCGUCUUCUGAAACAACCGGAGACUGUACUGCACUGAAAGUUGGUUCAGUGGCGAAGAAGGCGGCUACAUUCUGCCUGUAAACCCUCCGAAAAGGGCUGGUUUUUAUUUUGCUUUGACUGUCGAAAGGCGGGGGAUACGAAGCGACCUACGGUGAAAAUCCGUAACAUUUUCGACUAACUGAAGAAAACAGAAAACAAAAAACGGAAUUACUACAGAGCCAGUUCGUGCUGCGGUGACUGGUCAGCGAUAGUACAUGGAUUAUCUGUCCAACCCACUGCCAUUAUCUUUCCCUGACAAGUUACUAUUUGACAUGCAUAGCCACAACUGCAACCUGGUGAGUGAGCCAGUCGGUAGGGAAAUGGUGUCUGUGCAUGUGACAUGGACAUUAACUUUUAUUUUUCUUGCAUGAAAGGUCCAGGGAGUAAUGGAUAUGACAGAAACAACUGCAUUAUACUGCUAACACAACUGGU